AAAAUUUUAGUUUAUAUAAAAUAAUUUAUUUACAAUAAAUAGAAUAAUAUAAAAUAUUAAAAUUUUA
rnacentral:tRNA from 1 species